rnacentral:rRNA from 1 species
GUGGGGAAUUUUGGACAAUGGGCGCAAGCCUGAUCCAGCAAUGCCGCGUGCAGGAAGAAGGCCUUCGGGUUGUAAACUGCUUUUGUACGGAACGAAACGGUCCGGGUUAAUACCCUGGGCUAAUGACGGUACCGUAAGAAUAAGCACCGGCUAACUACGUGCCAGCAGCCGCGGUAAUACGUAGGGUGCAAGCGUUAAUCGGAAUUACUGGGCGUAAAGCGUGCGCAGGCGGUUUUGUAAGACAGGCGUGAAAUCCCCGGGCUCAACCUGGGAAUUGCGCUUGUGACUGCAAGGCUGGAGUGCGGCAGAGGGGGAUGGAAUUCCGCGUGUAGCAGUGAAAUGCGUAGAUAUGCGGAGGAACACCGAUGGCGAAGACAAUCCCCUGGGCCUGCACUGACGCUCAUGCACGAAAGCGUGGGGAGCAAACAGGAUUAGAAACCCCAGUAGUCC